rnacentral:rRNA from 1 species
UACGUAGGGGGCGAGCGUUGUCCGGAAUCAUUGGGCGUAAAGCGCGUGUAGGCGGCCCGGUAAGUCCGCUGUGAAAGUCCAGGGCUCAACCCUGGGAUGCCGGUGGAUACUGUCGGGCUCGAGUCCGGAAGAGGCGAGUGGAAUUCCUGGUGUAGCGGUGGAAUGCGCAGAUAUCAGGAGGAACACCGAUGGCGAAGGCAGCCCCCUGGGCUGAGAUUGACGCUCAGGCACGAAAGCGUGGGGAGCAAACAGG